rnacentral:rRNA from 1 species
GAGGGGCAGCGGGGUUGUAGCAAUACAACUGCCGGCGACCGGCGCACGGGUGAGUAACACGUAUGUAACCUGCCCUCUGCAGGGGGAUAAGCGGAAGAAAUUCCGUCUAAUACCGCAUAAUACAAUUUGGAGACAUCUCCGGGUUGUCAAAGGAGUGAUCCGGCAGAGGAUGGACAUGCGGCGCAUUAGCUAGUCGGCGGGGUAACGGCCCACCGAGGCUACGAUGCGUAGGGGUUCUGAGAGGAAGGUCCCCCACACUGGUACUGAGACACGGACCAGACUCCUACGGGAGGCAGCAGUGAGGAAUAUUGGUCAAUGGGCGGAAGCCUGAACCAGCCAAGUCGCGUGAGGGAAGACGGUCCUAUGGAUUGUAAACCUCUUUUGCAGGGGAGCAAGGCGCGGUACGUGUACCGCGAAGGAGAGUACCCUGAGAAAAAGCAUCGGCUAACUCCGUGCCAGCAGCCGCGGUAAUACGGAGGAUGCGAGCGUUAUCCGGAUUUAUUGGGUUUAAAGGGUGCGCAGGCGGACUGUUAAGUCAGCGGUAAAAUGUCGGUGCUCAACACCGGCCGGCCGUUGAAACUGGCAGCCUUGAGUGAGCGAGUAGUAUGCGGAAUGCGUGGUGUAGCGGUGAAAUGCAUA